rnacentral:rRNA from 1 species
GCGGGAGGCGGUGGGCGUCGCGCGCCCUAGCGGGCCGCGCCGCUCCCGUCCCCGCCGGCGGCGCCAAACUCUAAAUUUACAGCGGACUGUACGUUCUGAUUUACAAUAAAAACAAGUUAAAACUUUCAACAACGGAUCUCUUGGUUCUGGCAUCGAUGAAGAACGCAGCGAAAUGCGAUAAGUAAUGUGAAUUGCAGAAUUCAGUGAACCAUCGAAUCUUUGAACGCACAUUGCGCCCGGCAGUAAUCUGCCGGGCAUGCCUGUCCGAGCGUCAUUUCUGCCCUCGAGCGAGUCCAGCAUCUAGGUGCUGGGCCUCGCCCGGCGUUGGGGCACUACGGGAAGCCCUGUGCUGUCCCCCGUAGGCCCCGAAAUGAAGUGGCGGUCCUGCCGCGGCGCCCCCUGCGUAGUAUAACAGCUCGCUUCGGGACCCGGUGGAGGCCUGCCGUCAAACCUAUACUCUCUAAGUUUGACCUCGGAUCAGGUAGGGUUACCCGCUGAACUUAAGCAUAUCAA